rnacentral:rRNA from 1 species
UCGGGAAUUUUGGGCAAUGGGGGAAACCCUGACCCAGCAACGCCGCGUGAAGGAUGAAGUAGUUCGGUAUGUAAACUUCGAAAGAAUAGGAAGAAUAAAUGACGGUACUAUUUAUAAGGUCCGGCUAACUACGUGCCAGCAGCCGCGGUAAUACGUAGGGACCAAGCGUUGUUCGGAUUUACUGGGCGUAAAGGGCGCGUAGGCGGCAUGACAAGUCACUUGUGAAAUCUCUGGGCUUAACCCAGAACGGCCAAGUGAUACUGUCGCGCUAGAGUGCAGAAGGGGCAAUCGGAAUUCUUGGUGUAGCGGUGAAAUGCGUAGAUAUCAAGAGGAACACCUGAGGUGAAGACGGGUUGCUGGGCUGACACUGACGCUGAGGCGCGAAAGCCAGGGGAGCAAACGGGAUUAGAUACCCCGGUAGUCCCUGAGCGGGCUGGCAAGGCGCAU